rnacentral:rRNA from 2 species
UUAAGCGACUAAGCGUACACGGUGGAUGCCCUGGCAGUCAGAGGCGAUGAAGGACGUGCUAAUCUGCGAUAAGCGUCGGUAAGGUGAUAUGAACCGUUAUAACCGGCGAUUUCCGAAUGGGGAAACCCAGUGUGUUUCGACACACUAUCAUUAACUGAAUCCAUAGGUUAAUGAGGCGAACCGGGGGAACUGAAACAUCUAAGUACCCCGAGGAAAAGAAAUCAACCGAGAUUCCCCCAGUAGCGGCGAGCGAACGGGGAGCAGCCCAGAGCCUGAAUCAGUGUGUGUGUUAGUGGAAGCGUCUGGAAAGGCGCGCGAUACAGGGUGACAGCCCCGUACACAAAAAUGCACAUGCUGUGAGCUCGAUGAGUAGGGCGGGACACGUGGUAUCCUGUCUGAAUAUGGGGGGACCAUCCUCCAAGGCUAAAUACUCCUGACUGACCGAUAGUGAACCAGUACCGUGAGGGAAAGGCGAAAAGAACCCCGGCGAGGGGAGUGAAAAAGAACCUGAAACCGUGUACGUACAAGCAGUGGGAGCACGCUUAGGCGUGUGACUGCGUACCUUUUGUAUAAUGGGUCAGCGACUUAUAUUCUGUAGCAAGGUUAACCGAAUAGGGGAGCCGAAGGGAAACCGAGUCUUAACUGGGCGUUAAGUUGCAGGGUAUAGACCCGAAACCCGGUGAUCUAGCCAUGGGCAGGUUGAAGGUUGGGUAACACUAACUGGAGGACCGAACCGACUAAUGUUGAAAAAUUAGCGGAUGACUUGUGGCUGGGGGUGAAAGGCCAAUCAAACCGGGAGAUAGCUGGUUCUCCCCGAAAGCUAUUUAGGUAGCGCCUCGUGAAUUCAUCUCCGGGGGUAGAGCACUGUUUCGGCAAGGGGGUCAUCCCGACUUACCAACCCGAUGCAAACUGCGAAUACCGGAGAAUGUUAUCACGGGAGACACACGGCGGGUGCUAACGUCCGUCGUGAAGAGGGAAACAACCCAGACCGCCAGCUAAGGUCCCAAAGUCAUGGUUAAGUGGGAAACGAUGUGGGAAGGCCCAGACAGCCAGGAUGUUGGCUUAGAAGCAGCCAUCAUUUAAAGAAAGCGUAAUAGCUCACUGGUCGAGUCGGCCUGCGCGGAAGAUGUAACGGGGCUAAACCAUGCACCGAAGCUGCGGCAGCGACACUAUGUGUUGUUGGGUAGGGGAGCGUUCUGUAAGCCUGUGAAGGUGUGCUGUGAGGCAUGCUGGAGGUAUCAGAAGUGCGAAUGCUGACAUAAGUAACGAUAAAGCGGGUGAAAAGCCCGCUCGCCGGAAGACCAAGGGUUCCUGUCCAACGUUAAUCGGGGCAGGGUGAGUCGACCCCUAAGGCGAGGCCGAAAGGCGUAGUCGAUGGGAAACAGGUUAAUAUUCCUGUACUUGGUGUUACUGCGAAGGGGGGACGGAGAAGGCUAUGUUGGCCGGGCGACGGUUGUCCCGGUUUAAGCGUGUAGGCUGGUUUUCCAGGCAAAUCCGGAAAAUCAAGGCUGAGGCGUGAUGACGAGGCACUACGGUGCUGAAGCAACAAAUGCCCUGCUUCCAGGAAAAGCCUCUAAGCAUCAGGUAACAUCAAAUCGUACCCCAAACCGACACAGGUGGUCAGGUAGAGAAUACCAAGGCGCUUGAGAGAACUCGGGUGAAGGAACUAGGCAAAAUGGUGCCGUAACUUCGGGAGAAGGCACGCUGAUAUGUAGGUGAAGUCCCUUGCGGAUGGAGCUGAAAUCAGUCGAAGAUACCAGCUGGCUGCAACUGUUUAUUAAAAACACAGCACUGUGCAAACACGAAAGUGGACGUAUACGGUGUGACGCCUGCCCGGUGCCGGAAGGUUAAUUGAUGGGGUCAGCGCAAGCGAAGCUCUUGAUCGAAGCCCCGGUAAACGGCGGCCGUAACUAUAACGGUCCUAAGGUAGCGAAAUUCCUUGUCGGGUAAGUUCCGACCUGCACGAAUGGCGUAAUGAUGGCCAGGCUGUCUCCACCCGAGACUCAGUGAAAUUGAACUCGCUGUGAAGAUGCAGUGUACCCGCGGCAAGACGGAAAGACCCCGUGAACCUUUACUAUAGCUUGACACUGAACAUUGAGCCUUGAUGUGUAGGAUAGGUGGGAGGCUUUGAAGUGUGGACGCCAGUCUGCAUGGAGCCGACCUUGAAAUACCACCCUUUAAUGUUUGAUGUUCUAACGUGGACCCGUGAUCCGGGUUGCGGACAGUGUCUGGUGGGUAGUUUGACUGGGGCGGUCUCCUCCUAAAGAGUAACGGAGGAGCACGAAGGUUGGCUAAUCCUGGUCGGACAUCAGGAGGUUAGUGCAAUGGCAUAAGCCAGCUUGACUGCGAGCGUGACGGCGCGAGCAGGUGCGAAAGCAGGUCAUAGUGAUCCGGUGGUUCUGAAUGGAAGGGCCAUCGCUCAACGGAUAAAAGGUACUCCGGGGAUAACAGGCUGAUACCGCCCAAGAGUUCAUAUCGACGGCGGUGUUUGGCACCUCGAUGUCGGCUCAUCACAUCCUGGGGCUGAAGUAGGUCCCAAGGGUAUGGCUGUUCGCCAUUUAAAGUGGUACGCGAGCUGGGUUUAGAACGUCGUGAGACAGUUCGGUCCCUAUCUGCCGUGGGCGCUGGAGAACUGAGGGGGGCUGCUCCUAGUACGAGAGGACCGGAGUGGACGCAUCACUGGUGUUCGGGUUGUCAUGCCAAUGGCACUGCCCGGUAGCUAAAUGCGGAAGAGAUAAGUGCUGAAAGCAUCUAAGCACGAAACUUGCCCCGAGAUGAGUUCUCCCUGACCCUUUAAGGGUCCUGAAGGAACGUUGAAGACGACGACGUUGAUAGGCCGGGUGUGUAAGCGCAGCGAUGCGUUGAGCUAACCGGUACUAAUGAACCGUGAGGCUUAACCUU